CUUAGCUCAAUUAUGUUUUAGAUGUUUUAUAUAUUGUUAACUGAAUUGUAAAGUGCCUAGACUUUCAGAAAUUAUUGUGGUAAAUUUUGAUGUGGUCAGAAUUCAAAUAUCUUAAAUUGAUAUUUCAUUGGUGGUAGAUUAGAUGAAAUACAAAAUUAUAAAAGAAUUGUUAAUUAGAAGUGAUGUCAGAUGUUUAUCUUCAUGCAUGAAACAUGGUUGAGUGACUUGAGUAUUUUUAGAUGAGCAUAUACACGGAUCCUCAGAAUUCUACCAUAAGUCAAGUAUAUAAUAUGUGUAUACUGAAAAUGAGCCAGCUAGUAGCUGUGUCAGCUCAGGUAGUAAGGUGCUGGAUCGCUAAACAGAAGGUCCUGGCUUUGAUGCCCAAAAAAGUUCCUCUUGAUUUUUUUGCAUGGUUUCCUCUUGUCAGUGGUGCAGGAUGGAGGGCCUGGCAAGGAAUAACGUCUAGUCAUUCAAAGGUCCUGUGUACACAUUGGUGUGGAUGUAAAAGAACCCUUGACAGUUGGAAUCGGAAGCAAGAACUUGGCGCCGGUUUCAUUCAGACUAGCUCCAGUACUUGAAUUAUUAAGAGACAAGAAUUUGACCACGUCCAUAUUGAAAUAUUAUAUUAUAAAUCAAAAUCUACUCACAUACAUGUAUAAUAUAUUAGCCAGUAUUUAUAGAGAUGAUAUCCAUUCUCAGACUCAUUGAUUGAAACAGAAAUGCUCACAAAACUUUGGAUCUCAUUGAUACAUUGAGCCUAGUUCUUUGUAUGAGGAUGGAUAUUAUUUAAGCAAGGACCUAUAUUAUAGUAUAUAUCAUAUGUAUUUGUAUAAAUAUUGUAAGAAAAAACAUAAAUAACAGUGUUUUUACAGAUUUUUACCCAUUCCGAAAUGAGCUUUGUCAGAUUUUGUUAGUAGGGAGAGGGGUUUUACUCAGGCUUGUUUGGCAAUCUCAUUCAGCUAUCUGAAUAAAAAUAUUGUUUGUAAAACAAAAAUAGUGUAGUCUAGUGUAGAGUCAAUUUGUUUGUCAAAUUGUUUUGUUACUAGUCAAAAAUUUGUUAUAAAUGCCCUGGUUAGAGUUUCCUGACUAUUGGAUACUCAGUGAAUAUUAAACAUUAGACAAACGAAAUAUAUAUAUAUAUAUUUUUAAACAUCUAGAAUAGAUUGCACUUUAGACGAAAUAUUUUAUUAAAGAUUGCACUUUAGACGAAAUAUUUUAUUAAAGGGGAUCGUUGGCAAAAUGGUUGAUAUUCUGUUUUAACCAUUGGCAAUGUUCUCCUUUAAUGGAUCAGCCUGUUAUGGAUAGGAGCUAAUAUAAUGCAUGAACCUUUAUGUGGCCUAUAUAUUAUUAUUGAUAUCAAUAUACAGUAUUUUAUUUUUUUGCUAUUUAAUCUUUGAAAGAUGAUAUUAAUUUGUCGUUCUACAAAAAGAAUUGUUGAUUUUUGAAAAAUGAAUAUGGUUUAAUACUAAACUAGCUAACGUACUGCAGUAGUUGAUGUUAAAUGCCUGUCUGUAGAGUGUAGACUACCCAUUACCUCAAGAAGGACUGGGUGAUAAUAUUGCUAAUCCUAAAAUGCCAUUGGUCCACAUCCUUUGUGUCAUGGUUAUAUAGUCUUAUUUAUCCAGAAAUGCAUUUGACAUCAACUCUUUAUGAAGUCUUUUCUGAUUUCUUGAUAUUUUUAAAUUAAAGAGCUCAAUUACUGAUAGUUUAUUAUUAAUAAUAGCCAAUUAUAUCCUUCCAUACCAGCCUUUUUAAACAGUUGUGACAUUUGAUAUUAUAGUAAUAUACAUCGUACUAGAAUUAUCUUCCCUUAGUUUCUUUUUGGGGACAGAUAGGAUUUGUGCUUAAAGAUGCAUUAUGCAAGAGCUUAAUCUGCCCAUUGCAAGUUUUAUUUUCUGGCUUUGAAUAACAUGUAUAUUAUUGGUUAGACAUUUAUUCGCAAGACAAACCCAUAGUCCAUCAGAUUGCCGAUAUAUCAAAUGGAUUAGAUCAUCGAUGUCAUUUAAUGAUUUGUUAACUUGACAAUGAUACUUGAGAAUCAAAACCAUUUACAUCAAAACACUCAUAACUUUGCUCAGAAUAAAGUACUUUGACUGAAAUUUUGAAUAGAUUUCUUUUCCAUUAUCUAUAAUUUUAACUAUUACAGCAAGACUGGCCAGCUCUUUAUUCAAAUCUUACAUAAUGCAUCUUUAAUCAUAUUAGUAAUAUACAUUGUAAUAAAACUCAUUUAUAACUAUAUUGAAAUUUUAGAAUUCUUUUAUUUGUGAAAAUUUGAUUGAUGCAUUUAUUCAUUGUUCUUGGAAAUUAAUGUUCUGUAUUCAAUCUUGUGAAACAUAUAUAAUAAUGAUAGAUUAAAUUCACUGUAUGUAAGUGUUUGUUUUAAUAUUUUAUAUAAUAAAUCUAAUUUUCUUAGAAAUAUAUAUAGAGUAAAAUUGAAAAUGUUUAAAUGAUAUUGAUGUGAAAUAUGUGAAGAUGUUAUAUUAUAUUUGAUGACACAGUGAGCUGAGUGACAUACAUGUGUAUCAUUUUCCCUUUGCUUACAUAAAACAGGCAGAUUUCACUUAAAGUUACAUUUCAUAUUUUCUAAGAAAGUCAAAACAUAAUUAUUUCUAUGUCUUUUGCUUAAUAUGUUGUAAACUCACGAUUAUACAAUCAUAGGUGUCAUUCUCACACUUAAAACUCAUUUACACCGGAAAUAAUAACACAAUUACCUCCCAAUUACCUCCCUUGUUUUCUAUUCUCCACCAUGGAGUAGCUAAUUUCAAACGUUUGAAUUUGUCGAUGAAAAUGAUAUUUUUGCCAAUUUCUCAACUGGCAAUAGUGAAUUAUAGGAUUAAUAGGAUUAUUCUUUAAUAAGGUAGAACUCUUUAUAGAUACCAUCUAUUUUAAGGCUUUAUUUUAAUAAAUUUUAAAAAUAUAACUUAAAAAUAUGAAAUUGCAACUUUAAAGCAAUCUAUAAGAAUCUAGGGUUGUUUUUACUGAUGGGGAUGGGGGUGGAUAGCCGAAUGGUUAGCAUGUGCGCGCUGUAUCAUAAGGUCUGCCAUUGAGUCAACUGGCAUGGCUUCAACUCCCCGGUUGUACGUGACAAGGAGUAGGGUCGCCUGUCCAACCUAGUGGGUUUUCUCUGGGUCCUCCGGUUUCCCCCCACUGCUAAAGACCCCUACACACAAGCAAAUUAUUGAAAUAAAAUUGAACCAGAUCUUAGUCUCGAAAUGACCAAGUUUGUGUCGAGUGGACGUUAAACCCCAUUUCUCUUUCUCUCUGAUUUUACUGAUAAUAUUCUGAUAAUUGAAAAAAAAAAAAAUGACAUUUUUAGGUCUUUAGAGAAUAUUUCACCUCGCUUGAUUUUAUACAAUCUGAUUAUAAUACAGAUCUAUAUUUGUUUCAUUUUUAUACUUUCAAUGGACUGCACUAAAUGAAGAUCUGACUUCAUAAGAAUAAAAUUGUCGUAAAAUGCAUUUGGCUGGACCUUUCAAUUUAAACUUUUGCAUGUAUACAGUCAGUACGCUUCGCUGUGAAAUGUAUUUUGAUGAUUUAUUGCUUAUGAGUUUUAGUUUAGUAUUAUAUAGAUAUGUAUAUUUUUUAGUUAGUUUAUAUAUAUAUAUUGUAAUAGUUACAUCUACCACCUCCAUAUACAUGUAAUAAUGUUAGAUAUUGUAUAUUUUGUCAUAUAUAUAUAUAUAUAUAUAUAUUGCUAUUAAUAUGAUUUCUUCCACUGAGCACUUGUAUACUUUUUAUAUCAUAAUUACCUAUGCUGAAUUGGGUUAUUUAAUUAACACUUUAGCUCUUGCACUGCUCAAAUCUUCUGUUUUCUGUAGCACAGCAUUGCACAUAGGUCAUGUUGCUUUUGAACUGCCCAAACUUCUCUUUGAUGGAACACACCACCACGUCUAAGUCUUGUAGCUCUUGAACUGGCCGAAACUCCUGUUUUCUGUAGCACACCACCGCGUGCGUCUAGGUCAUAUAGGUCUUGAACUGCUCGAAACUCCAGUUUUCUGUAGCACACCCCCAUGUCUGGGUCAUGUAGCUCUUGAACUGCCCGAAACUCAAAAUAGAACAGAUUAUUUCACAGAAAUUUACCUUCAUCACCUAAGCAAAUUUGUAUACGCCCACACAUAGUUUGUGAAUCCAAAUAAAAAAUAGAGGGAAAUCCAAAAGCAUUUGAAAAACAUGAUUUGUGAACUUUGAUGGGAUUUAAUUCAUAAGAAACUUGAUAGAGUGACACCAGUAGGAGUGGUUAAAACAAAGUCAUGGGUAUUAGGACUUUACUAUUUUUUCAAAUUUCAUUUGUGUAGUUGUGUUACACUUACGAAACGUUAGAUGGUUUUGUGACACCCUUGACUUUGUUUUUAACCACACUUAAUUUGGUCGUGACACUGACAGUCAGUCCGUCUGUAAACAAUUGGAUUAUAAAGGGAUCGAGGCUACAGUUUUUGACGAUUAUUUUCAUGUUUGGUGUGAAGCAUUGUGGUCAUGAGAGGAUGAACCCUGUUCCAAAAAGCGUGUGAACAUGAUAGAGGCUACAGUCUUUAUUGGACUUGUGUCAAAUUUGGUGGGAAGCAGCCUGGGCAUGAGAGGACAAACACAGCAGAGAUCAGAUUUGUUGAUUGCAUCCAUGACAAAUUUAACCAACAUCCAUGUUUUCCUUUCGGAUAAGCUACCGUCGAGACAUGGCCGCUGUGUGGAUGUAUUUCCAUGCUUUGUGUGGCUACCUUUUUAUUUUCGGGUAGGCCUUUCACUAUAAUUGCACUCUGAGCAGUGCUCGAAAUAUCCCAAAGCCGGCACCAUUACAUGUAUCUUAUGUGGACGCCAGGUUAGAAAGCACUGUUUACUGUAUCGUGGGAGUUUGGGCGAUGUUUAUAGUUUCAGGAAAAAAAGAUGGGUAAAAAGCCCUAUUUAUUUUGUAGCAACAGUACUUUUGCCUAUGAAAAAUGCUUAUUUAGCCAUGAUAAAAAAAACCUUACUUAUUCCUCAGAAAAAUUUUAAUUAAAUAUAGAUUCUUGAGAAUGCCUUAAUUGUAGCCAGACUGUAUUAGUUAGGAAAGAGUGUUUGCUGUUUAGACCAUCAUAAAUUGCUGUAGAAUGGAUUGUGAGGAUCAAUGCUAAGUUUGUCUGUACCUCUAGAAUUUUUUCAUGAAAUGAAAUUAAUAAUACUAUUCCUUUUCUUGCAUUAAUUUCCGAUUGUUCAUGAAUAAACAAUACUCAUGAAAGAUGUAUUUCUUUGACAGCUAGAGAAGGCAUAACCAUGUAUUAGAAAACAUAUGAUAAUGGCAUGCAAAACUGUAUUUGCUGAUGUUUUCCCCAGGAAAAUUGCAUUAUGCAAUUGGAAUUGGAACCAGUGGUAAAGCCUAGUGACAUAUCAGACAGGGUGGUUGCGGGCGGGGAAUGCAUUAGUUUCAUUAUUAGCUUAGAUACUACUUCAGAUCCAAAUCAAUAAAUUUAUUUGGAUUGAAAAUGUCAAAGACAUACAUCUUUAAUAAUGUUAAAGUAUAUUAUAUACAUAUUUGUUGAUUGUAUGUCUUGUGGAAACUGAACUGAUAAUUUAAUGUAUUAAGUGAAUAAAUAUGGAAUUUUUAUAGAAAAA